rfam:Erinaceus europaeus unplaced genomic scaffold scaffold00340, whole genome shotgun sequence
GGAGGUGAAGGCAAUCUGUUUGAGACAACUGUCACCCCACUGGUUGCCAGGGUUGAUUCAGUUUGAUCACACUGGCUAAUUGGGUGUCUCUUCCUUACUCAAAGCUCUAUGCAUGUCCCUCUAAAAGCUGUGUGCUUGGUUGAAGAGGACCACAUUUUGCCAGACAAAAACAGAUUCAGUUAUGGUAGAGAGUAGCUGUACUCCCCUGCUAGAACUUCCUCUCUCAAAGCAACAUCAAAGUUUCUUUUGAGUCAGGUGCUAUUACUGUUCAUUUUUCACU